rnacentral:rRNA from 1 species
UACGUAGGGUGCAAGCGUUAAUCGGAAUUACUGGGCGUAAAGCGUGUGCAGGCGGUUAUGCAAGACAGAUGUGAAAUCCCCGGGCUCAACCUGGGAACUGCAUUUGUGACUGCAUGGCUAGAGUACGGUAGAGGGGGAUGGAAUUCCGCGUGUAGCAGUGAAAUGCGUAGAUAUGCGGAGGAACACCGAUGGCGAAGGCAAUCCCCUGGACCUGUACUGACGCUCAUGCACGAAAGCGUGGGGAGCAAACAGG